rnacentral:sRNA from 1 species
GUCGUUGCCCCAACCACGCGCGUCACGGGUGAUCCGUUUCCGCAUGUUGGGACAUGGAACCAUGCCGCAAUGGAACGCAGCCUGAAUCGGACAUUCAGGCUGCGUUCACA